CUCCUCCCUCCCGCACCCACGCCUCCGCCGCGCCCAGCUCCUCCUCUAUGCCGCCUCCUCCCAUUCCCUAACCCUAUCUGCUCCCCGCGCCACGGCCUCCUCCUUCGCCCAGCCCGCCGGAUCCCCGCCGUCGUCAUCGCGUCCACACGGGAGGUGCUCUGCCUCUUCCUCCCUCCUGGUUUCGGGCUGGGCAUCACCUUCAUCGCCGGCGUGGCUCCGGUGGACUCUGGCGGGAUCCUCUCCGUCUUCUCCCUCGCCCCACGCGCGGUUCUGCUUCUCGCUGGCCACCGGGUGCAGCCUUGCAGGGGCGCAUCGGGCUGGGCUCGCGCCGCACAGCCGUGAGGAACAUAGAAGAGCACACCACCGGGCCGCACAGCAGGCAAGGAAGGAGCGCCGCCGCGGAAUGGGUAGGUCAACGCCGCAGAUUGGGGAGGAGCGCCGUCGCCGCCUGGACCAAGCUCCCUGCUCCACCGACCAAGGAUGCUCGAUUCCGGCCGCCUGCAGCACAUCAGGCCAUCCGCUAACAGCAACAAAAGGAAAAGGAUGGUGUGCAACAAAAGAAAAAAAGAUGAUGUGGAGCCUCAAGUACAAGUGAAGAAGUUAUAUUUGCGGAUAUGUCAGCAUGGCGUUAGGCUACUACCUGUGACUGUUUUACCUUGAUUUGCCAGGCAUCCCAGGAGAUGGGAGUUGCUUAUUUUGCUCUGUGGUACAUACAACAUGCGUCCUCUCGGGGAAACCUAUACCUAAUGAAAAUCUUAAAUGAAAGCUAGCUGAUGAAUUCAGGAAGCAGCUAUACAAAUCCAUCAUUGUACAUGCCGCUGAUGAAUCUGUCACUAGACGGGAAGAGACUUAAUGGUUUGUUGAGGGCGAUUUCACGCAUACAUUUCCAGAUUAGGCGCCCACAUGUGUAUGGUGGUGAGCCUGAAUUAUUCAUGGCUUCACAUGUUCUCCAUUUACAUAAAUGUUGUAGUUCCAUCAUUAUGAAAGUACUGCUUCAUAACCAGAUGUCCGUGCCCUGGUCCACGCGACGAUGCUGAACCUGGAGUAAGGUGUGUGCACCAUGCUCGAGGACAACAUCAGUGAUGUCGGGAAGGAGGAGAGGCUUGAGGCGGGCAUGCACAUGUGCGCUGGCAUCUCAAGGUGGAGGAGCGCUCAGGUGAUCACCCCGUCGUACGUGGUGGGGUUCAUGCAGGAGAGGGAUCUUGCCGUGGUAAGCUUUGUUCGGGAGAAGCUGUUGUCUGGGGUGCUCACCAAGACAUUCCUCAUGAUGAUGGACUACAACUGCGGCUUACAUUGGCUGGGAGAAUGACAUGAUGAGCAAUCUUCUGUUGGGUGAUUCACCUGAAACGCCAAAAAGAGAUGAGUCUUUUGUGAGAUGAAUCUUCUGCUGGGUGAUUCACCUGAAACGCCAUUGAGCAGCAGAACACACACAAGAGGAUCAAGCCCCAACCUAAUGGACGCUGAUCCUUCCUGCCACACCCCUGUGUCCCGUUCAACUGGUCUGGCUCAUAGGACAAGCUAUAAUAUGGAAACGGAAUGCUUUGCAAAUGCAGAGUAUCAGAUACUGGUGUUCUAUUGUUCUAUUCAUGACCCUACACAUGAUUACAAGUAUGUUGGCUAACAUGAUAGAUAGUACUACAUGUACGUCCAAUUUUCCUGCAAUUGGUUUAUUAGAUAGCCUGAGUAUUCACCAAAUUGUUCUAUACUUUAUCUUUGUCUUCCCUGAUUUUAAUUAACCCCGUUGAGCUUGUUUAUGACGUAGGCCGAGCCUUGUGUUGUGAGUAUCCCAGGCCGAAUGAUGCUUGAUCUCCUUUUAGAGGAGCUUGAGUUGCCGGCAGCCCGUUACGGUCGAAGGGACUAUUUAAAUAACACCAUGAGUUUCACCAUCAUGUUCUGGACCUCUGUUCCAAGGGAAGAAUGUCAAUUACUAAUUACUAAGUAAACAAUCCAUAGGAUCUGCAUCAUGCAAUGAAGGCAAAGCUCUGUAUUUCCCAUAUUGGUGAACAGGGGAACUUAAGAUCAAGUUAGUUUUAUUGUGUUUCAUAGAUCUUCUGCAUAUCAUAUUCUCAUGCUUAAGAAGGAAUCUUGAAUUUCCCAGAGGCUCAAAAGUUAAAUAAAAACGAUAGAGAUCAUGGUUAGAGGUUACUUUUUGUGUAGAAAUAAUAGGUUAUAUCUUCUGCUUUCUACCAGAAGAAAUGAUAAAUCAAGGUGGAUAAUAACAGGUUAUAUCACAAUAGUGAUCAAAGGGAAUAGAUAUACUUUUGCAAGUCAUCCAUGGAAUUUUAUCAGACAAAUUUAUUUUCUUCAGAUGUGUAAUCCUAUUUUUCCGAGAUAUAUGUAUUUCUUCUUGCUCAUUCUUUUGGGCUUAGGGGCAGUAGAAUAAUCAGAAUAUACCUGGAGUGUUUGUACCAUCUGCAUACACUUUAGCUCAAAAUAAUAAUGUGCUUCCUGUUACUUGCUCUGUUUUGAUAAUGUACAUACAUCAGUUGUGAUAUAUAUAAUUGGUAGCAGAUAAACAAUAUUAGUUUUCCAGUGAAUGAUUUUAGAUUCUUCCAUGAAAGCAUCUCCCCCCUUUUUUCGGUUUUUAUUUCAUGAAAUGAGUUACGAUGACUGUCGUGAUAUAUUUCUUCUCUUAAUAUUUAUUACCAUGAACUAGAGUAUCCAGUGUGUGUAGUUGUAUACCACCUUUUUAGAAAAGAAUCAUAAAUUGCUACUAUACAUUUAUCAGGGUGUGUAGCAUCAGAUCUACACCUUGCAGAAAACAACUCAAGGAGUAAUGCUAAAAUAUUUGUCACUUCUGGUUCAGUCCAGGGGUAAAUUAAAUAUGUAAAGUUCGUCGUGCAAUUUAGAUUGUUAAUUGGAUUAUAUGCAUGAUGAUAUCUCUUCUAUUUUUUUGGUCAAAUACCUUGAGCCGAGGAUAUUAUUAUGACAGGCUUAGCAUUAGUGCAGUGCGGAAGUAACUGUUCUUAGAUUCUCAUGCUAACAAUAAUAUAUUUUGAUCGUUUUCUAUGGUUGAGAAGAUAUAUAUGGUCAAUGCAAGAUUGAAUUUAUUUAUUUGUGGAUACUGGCAGCGCACAUGUCGAUGUUCGGCAGGGUAUCGACAUCUGCGGUUUCACCAUCUCUGCACCAUCCCGAGGUCUUGCAUCUGCUUCUCCUUCUCGGCAGAAGAUGGUAGUCGGUCAAAUAUCUGUAGCCCCUAUGUGUGGUUGUUCAGCAGGGUAUCGCCAACAACGAUUUCCCCAUCUCUGCAUCAUCUUGAGAUUAUAUGGUGGAAAGAGGAGGCAUAGAGGGGGGGUGUAGUGGGAAGAAGAGAGGGUGAGAGAGGAGGAAGUGGAGACCCUGCCGGCGUAUUGGUGAAAAACCACCUCCCUGACUUUCUACACCAUGGGUUAUCAUCUAAAAUUGAUUUUUAGAGGAAUCAGGACAUGUUCUUUUUUCCUUUCCACAGUUUCUCAUCUAAAAUGGAUUUUUAGAGGAAUCAGGAUCUGGUUCCUGGACCAUUUGCUAUGUACUGAAUGUGUAUGUACCAAUGCAAUGCUUCUGAUAGAAAUUUGAUAUAUUAGAUUGACAAACAUAACUAAAUUAUACAAUUUUUUUUAUAUUUGCAAUGAUUCAA